AAUAAAUACAUUCAUAGAAGGAGAAUGUGAUGGUUUCCAAAUCUUAAGAAAAAGGAGAAAAAUAUAUUGAUAGUGGUAGUCGGAUCCGAAGAAGAAGAAGAAAAAGAAAAAUAAUACGGUGGUCGUAAUGAUGGUGGCCGGAAUCUAAAGAACAAAAAUGAGGAUGAGGUGCUGGUGGUAGUGGGCGAAUUCGAAGAAGAAAGUGAUAGUAAUGGUGGUUAUGGCUAAAUCUGAAAAUGUGAAGGUGAAAGUGGUGACAGUAGCGAUAACGAUACAUACAAUAGUAGAUAGAUCUAAUAAAUGAUGAUGAUGGUGAGGAGGAGGAGGAGGAGGAGAGCUGAUGAUGGUCGGAUAUGAACAAUCAAAAGGUAGUAGUGAUAGUGAAUUUGGCC
rnacentral:lncRNA from 1 species